rnacentral:rRNA from 1 species
AUUGAACGCUGGCGGCAGGCCUAACACAUGCAAGUCGAACGAGGGGGGGACGGGUGAGUAAUGUGUGAGAAUCUGCCUGGGGGGGGGGGAUAACUACGGGAAGCGGUAGCUAAUACCACAUAACAGCAGAUGUGCACAGAUGGGAUUAGCUUGGUGGUGGGGUAACGGCUCACCAAGGCGACGAUCCCUAGCUGGUCUGAGAGGAUGACCAGCCACACUGGAACUGAGACACGGUCCAGACUCCUACGGGAGGCAGCAGUGGGGAAUAUUGCACAAUGGGCGCAAGCCUGAUGCAGCCAUGCCGCGUGUAUGAAGAAGGCCUUCGGGUCGUAAAGUACUUUCAGCGGAGAGGCGGUACCCAACGAGGAAGCCCCGGCUAACUCCGUGCCAGCAGCCGCGGUAAUAC